UUGGACACUGACGUUUGGGAAUUUAAAACUCUGGUUAUCUAUGUCCACAUCAUGGACUGUGUAUAGAACAGACGCCAUCUGCCUCCUCGCUGGGUGAAGCCACUGCGAGAACAGCUCCCUCUGGUGACGGGCUGCAGUAUAGGCUGUAGGCCUCCCCCAGCAAAGCUCAUGGAGCUGUGGACAAACUUAAGAAAUUUAUUACACAGAAUAUACAUUUUUCUCCCCCCUAGUUGUGGUGUUGACAUGUAGUUACUGUACGACUGGUUUGUGCUCAAGUCCUCUUUUUUCUGUGCAGCAAGAUUUUUAAAAGUUAUUAAGGGGUUCAUGUUUUCUAUAAUUGACACUUGAUACAGCCUAUGGGUGUACAAAAAUUGCGUAGCUCUCCCGCCGAAUAACGCUGCUAUAAUGCUAUAAUGCUAUAAUGCUGCUGCGCAAGUGGUGGAGUGCAUGCAACGUUACUGCACAAUGUUGGUUUCAGGACAUGGAGAAAAAACCUGCAAAUACUGAGAGCUAUUUGGCUUCAAAUCCAUAUACUGCUGGAAGGCUGUGCCAAGUUUUCCAUAGUAUAUACAGUCUAUGGUUCACACGCAAAUGCAAAGCUGGAGUUUUCCGAAAUCUUCACCUUGGCCAGAGUUUUCCAAACUCACCGUUUUUAAUGACAUAAUCCUGUGGUUAUGUGUGGAAGGUAUGCCAAAACGUAUAAAAAUAUUUUCAUUUUAGCAAAGAAGACAAGGCAUUAGACUUACUGACCAAGGCAAAUUUGUCUGACGACACCAGACCAUAACUAUGUAUGUUAAUUGUGAAAUGUAUAUUCACAAAUAUUUUGACUAGCGGACCUGUCUAAGUUGACAUUGAGCACAAUUUAUUUGGCACAGCUACACACGGAAUCAUAGAGUCUGCUUGUAAACAGUGAAAAGUUGGUUAUGCUGAAUGUGGAUGCUAGUUAUUGAAUGCUCAGAUUGAGAGGUUAUAUGCCAGUUAAAUCUCACGUAGCUUCAGUACACCUUUAUGCCCACUUUCCAGAUGAUAUUACUGCCAAACCAUACAGCAAUAUGAGAAGCUUACAGUAGUAGAAUAUACCUCAGUGUUAGAGCAGCCACAGGUGGAGAGAUGAGAGCGGGGAGAGAAACAGGAGGAAGCAGGUGUGUGUGUGUGUGUGUGUGUGUGUGUGUGUGUGUGUGUGUGUGUGUGUGUGUGUGUGUGUGUGUGUGUGUGUGUGUGUGUGAAAGAUGAGGAGACAGAGUGACACAAUGAGAGGGAAGCUGUAGAGAUCAUGAGUGCAAACAAGCUAAUGACUGUCGGGCGAGAAAGUGUAAGACAUUGUUCUGAAUCCUCAUAAAAAUACAAGCCCAAGUCUUUACAUUGGAAAUCACAUUGAAUAAAAGCUUAAAAAUACCAGAUGAUUUCUUAGCUCUGUAGCCUGCAAUAAAAUAUAUGAGCGCUAAAAGAGCUGAAAUGGUAAGUCACUCUUUGGUAAAAGGUCACUGUCACAGCAGUCUUUGCUUAGAAAUGCUAACCCGAAAAUUCAAUCAGAUCAGGACUCUUAUUUCCUUAUUUAAAUGUAAUCUCAAAAAUAUGAUCAGAAGUUGCUUGGGACUGGCUUAGAUUUUUGUUUCGCAUUGUAUAUAUAAAUGUUUGGUGGUUUCUGUGUAGUUUCUUAAUGCUCUGCUGUUUUUAUCUUGGCUCUAUGUGUUGUAUAAUCAUUCUGUUUUGAUGCUUCAGUUGCUCUGACAUUUGAUGGUGCAGGCUGUCAGGCCUUGUCUUGGAUUAAGGGCAGCAUCAGGCAGACAUAUGUCCUUUCUGCUUUUGUAUUGGUUGGUUUUUUUAUCUGAGCGAAAUAUAAUUUUUAUCUCACUUCAUUCAGAAUGACAGUUCCUCAAAAUCGCUCCACACCAAGGGAUAUUCAUUACUUUUUGUAGACCUGCCUGGGUUGCCCGUCAACUUUUCGUCUCCCUUCAUCUCUCAUCUAUUUCACUCUCUCAGAAAGCCUGCUUUUUCCCCGGCAAUUUUCCUGCUUUACUUUGCUAUGACCUUCCUGCUUAAAUUGCUUGGCUUGUGUUAUUCACAGUUUGAGAUUUACAGAGAAUAAUAUUGCACCACAGGAUUUCCCACACUCUUAGGUGCCCAAUAACUUGUGACAGAAUUUCUGUGACCUGGUUGUCUGUAUUUUCCCAGCUUAGGUUAAGGUGAUGGGGGCUGUAGUUCUCAUCUGGCACAGCUGAACAAAAUGCUUAACCUGUCAUGUGUAGCCGAAACCUGCACACACAGUUCACAGGAGAUGAUUCAGUCCAAAAGGUGCAAUGAAAAACAGAAAUUAUACAGAAUAUUUCCCAGUUUUUUAAGAAAAUGUGGAGCAGCAGUCAAAGAGCUUGUUUGUGUGUGUCGGUUCUUCAUAGUGCAUGAGAUCUGAACAAGAUGGUAAAUUAGGUGAGGUAACCGUGGUGGUCUAGUUUAUUUCUAUUCAACCUUAAUCUAUUCAUUAGAGAGCUUAUCGUGUCGUUUUUGUAAAGGACAGCUUAAGAGAGACUGGAAAUGUGUGGCGACUCGGGAAGAGAUAGGCAUGCAUCAGAAGGUUAAGGCCAGGAGUUGAACCAGUGACCACUGUUCAAGACUGAAGCCUCUGUAUAUGGGAUACUUUCUCUACUGAUCAGCUAAAGCUGGUCACCCCAGCCAAAAUACUUAAAGUUUUGUCCAUCUUCUUAGUGGAGUAUACGUAAGGACUAGUCUUGCUGUGACGGAGGAUGGGAUCCUUUAUUGACCACUGAAAGGCUGAUCAGUGGUUAUUUUUUUGUGCUGCUCUUGAUCUAGUAGGGCUUCAUGGUUGCUUGCUUAGCCAUCAGUACAAUUAAAUUGAAAUCUUACAUCACAGAACAGCCCGAGUAAGGAAGCGCACACCUUUUUGGAAGAUAUUACAGGCAUGAUAUCACAGUUGGCUAAUAAAAGCUUAAGAAGUUAGUAAUCAGUAACGGCAGGUAUUAAAAUUUCUGAAAAUGUAAUUAUUACCCUAAAAGGUGAUGCUUUAAUUAUGUGCACCCAGUGAUUGUUUACACAUACGGGUUGUAUAAAAGUGCUUUGAAAUGUUGGAAACUGACAGCAGGCACAUUGCGUAAUGUCUAUGAUGAUUGAAAUUCAUGAGCUUACACACGUGUUUAUGAUCAAAUCUUUGAAUUCUUGACUGUGAAAAACAUUGUGUAUAUACCAGUACCAAUAUCUGUAUCAGUCAGAGUUAGUUUGAAAAUACUGACAUGUUGGAUGUCGAUAAAAGUCCAAUAUUAUGCAUACUUACAAUGGAUGCCACAAUUCUCAAUACGGUAUUAAACUGCUGGGUAAAACAUUUGCAUCCUAAUUAAUUGCCCAUGGUUUGUGGUAUUCCAAGCUUUGCUAUAACUAGCUCCCAUGUAUUAUAUUCCUCUGUGAAUUGGCUGUGUGUAUGUGCCGGCAAGUCUACAUGCUGGGACGAGAAAACUCUCGUGUGCACAAAUGUACAGUGACUGCAUGCUAGAUACAUGUGAUGUAGUGAUAGGCAGAGACGCUGUGGUCAUAUCUAUUUAGGAGCAACAUAUAACAGGAAGCACUGACAGCAUUUAGUGGCAGUGCUAGCAUUUAGCCUGAAUGCUGCUCAAGUGUAAAAAGAAACUUGCACAUAAAAAGCUGAAGGGUGGACGAUAAAGCAAGAUUUGAAGGGAAAUUCAGGAAACAAACUCAGACUUUGUUGAUUUCAAACUCUGAUCCGGCAAGAUUGUCAUGCUAACUGACUUUGAGAAACUAACCUGGAUGGACCAUUAAUAGCCAGGAGGACCAGAUUAAAUGUUUUGGCUAAAGCAUUUGCCCAGCAUUAAUUAUUAACUGUAGUUACUGCAAUGUAUAAGAAGCAUACAGGAAGUUGCAAGUGGUUUUUCUUUUGGAUUAAAAUUAUUAAAACCAAUACAAUCAGCCAACAAGUGUUUUAUUCUUAAGGAUAAAUAUCAAUGAAAAAAGAUUACCACAUCUAUAUUGCAGAUACUGUAGUUUUUCUUUUUGAAAAAUUCUGAUGGAGUUGGUCAGAGUGCAGAAUCUACAUUUUUGGGGUCAUAGGUCACACUGUGGAUUUUGUCCAUGAUCUACCUAACAUGUCAGUCUGGGCCGUCCAAAAACUUUUAUUUAAGCAUCUAUCUUAGUUUCAUUGUUUGUGUUCUAACUGCACUUUGCAGCUCUGACCUCUGCACUUCAAGAAACCUUGCUUAGAGACAAACACAAACCACCCCUUUGAAGCUGCAAUUAAAAUCUACAGGCAUUACUGAAGAGCUACAUAAAAUAAUAGAAAAAACAUAAUUGUAUUGGCCUUACUUUAUCCCAUUCAUUGUGAAUGAGGCUGCACCACCAGUGCCACUCAUCCCCAUGUGAAUCUAUGUGAAUGCAGCAUGAGGGGUCAGCAUGACUCUCCUGCAUGGAGCGGCUGAAGUUGCACCCUGAAGGUGGAGUAUAAUUACAUCCAAAAUGGGGGACGUGAAAGCCUCUUUACACUUUUUACUUCAUUUAAGACAGUUAGCGCUUAUCUCUUGUCUUGUCACCACCACACAAAAUGUAUAAAAGGGGAUGUGCCC